AGAGUUUGAUCAUGGCUCAGAAUGAACGCUGGCGGCGUGCUUAACACAUGCAAGUCGCACGAGAACUCUUUAGCUUGCUAAAGAUAGUAAAGUGGCGCACGGGUGAGUAACGCGUGGGUAAUCUUCCUUCAAAUUGGGGAUAACUCGCCGAAAGGCGGGCUAAUACCGAAUAACAUCUUUGGAACUUCGGUUUUGAAGAUCAAAGGUGGCCUCUAUUUAUAUGCUACUGUUUGAAGAUGAGCCCGCGUACCAUUAGCUUGUUGGUAGGGUAAUGGCCUACCAAGGCUGCGAUGGUUAGCUGGUCUGAGAGGAUGAUCAGCCACACUGGAACUGACACACGGUCCAGACUCCUACGGGAGGCAGCAGUGAGGAAUUUUGCGCAAUGGGGGAAACCCUGACGCAGCAACGCCGCGUGAGUGAUGAAGGCCUUCGGGUCGUAAAGCUCUGUCAAGUGGGAAGAAACUGAUGAAUGAUAAUACCUUUUAUCACUGACGGUACCACUGAAGGAGGCACCGGCUAACUCCGUGCCAGCAGCCGCGGUAAUACGGAGGGUGCAAGCGUUAUUCGGAAUCAUUGGGCGUAAAGGGCGCGUAGGCGGUUUUUUAAGUCAGAUGUGAAAGCCCGGGGCUUAACCCCGGAAGUGCAUUUGAAACUGAAAGACUUGAGUAUGGGAGAGGGAAGUGGAAUUCCUGGUGUAGAGGUGAAAUUCGUAGAUAUCAGGAGGAACACCGGUGGCGAAGGCGACUUCCUGGACCAAUACUGACGCUGA
rnacentral:rRNA from 1 species